UAAUUUUCCAAUGGUCCCCACACACACUCCUUCAAUGCAAUUCAAGUUUCACCAACUUUUUUGCUCUGCCUCUUCUCUAGUCUAUCAAUAUAUAAGCAUGUGUUUUUUAUGUGAGAUAUAAUUCGAUCACAUACCUACACUAACUAUUCUAUAUAUAACAACACACACAUAUACACUAGUAAAUAAAAUCCUCUCUUAGCUUGAUUACAUUUCUUUGUUUUUUUUUGUUUCAAUAGCUAAAAGUGUUGAUUUCAAAAGAAAUUGGAAGAAUUUGGUUAAGGGAAUGAAAAUGAAGACGAGGAUGAAGAUCGUGAAUAUGAUGAUGAGGAAGAUGGUGAAUCUCGUUCUCAUGAAAAUGAUGAUGAUGCUCCUGCGGUUCAAAGUGAGAAGUAUAUUAUUAUGAUUUUUGUGUUAUUAUUACUGAUAAUUUAUUUAUUUUCCUUUAUUAAUCAAUUAGAUUUUUUAAUAAAUUUUAAUGUUUUGAUUAUUAGUUUGUCAUAUGAUUUAGAAGCUGAAACAAAUAUUUUGACACAACAAUGGUCUUGUACUUACUCACUUUUUGGUUUAACUACUCUAAAAUUUUUUGCUAAUAUUAUUCCGGUAUUCAUUUUUUCUAAUGAAAUGUCAUUUUGCAUUUUUUUUUAUUAUUUAUCUAUGAAUUCUGUUUUAGUAAUCAUUGAUAAUUAAAUAUCUUAUGUAUUAUUUAUGAGGAACAUUUAGAAUUAUGGUGUUCUGACCGACUUCUUAGAGUAAAAUUGAUAAUUAGAGAACGAUUGGUAAGUAAAUUCAAAAUGGAUUCUAUAUUUGGAUUUAAUUAUUGAGGAUUAUUUAUUUUUUAGUUUGUUAUUAUGUAAAUAUUUAGCAAUAUGUUGAGUUUUUGCCACUGUAUGGUAUGUAGAAGUAUAUUUAAAAAAGCAAAAAAAGUUGGAGAUGAAAUUUUUUGUUCAAGAAUUAAUUGAUUUAUGCUAUAUUAAGAAUAAAUAUGAAGAUGGAGAUGAGAAUAAAGAUGCGGGUGCUUCUAGCAUUAUUAAUGUGGUAGAUUAUAUUACAAAUCAUGACAUAUUAUUUGAUGUGGAUUAUUUUUUUGCAGGUGAAGAUCAAAAUAUACUUAAAUAUAAAAUAAAUAAGUUAUAUUUAACUCCAAUGGUAUGUAUGUAUAAUAUUAUUAUUAUAAAUUUAAUUAAAAAAACAUAUUAAUUAUUUUAUUCAUUUUAGUAUUGACGAGUGCAUUCUUUAAAGGGAUAUAAAGAACUAAAUACAAUUGAUGAGAUAGAAACUAUUGUGAUGAGAAGAGGAGACACAGUAAUAACGAGAGUUAAAAUGAAUUAAUCUUUUAAUACUUGAAUCCAUUAUGUAAUAUGAUUAAUUUUGUGUAUUUGAAAUAUAAUUUAGUAUUUACAAGAUAUUUUCUAACAAUAAUAUUAUAUAUUACUCAAUUAUUGUAGAAAAUAUAUGUUGAUCAUCCUCACAAUAAAGUAGUUACGCAUGUACUACUUAUUGUAGGAUUUAGGUAUAAAAUUAAUGAAUGUAGAGAAAAAAAUGAAAUAUUAGAUCGUUAAAAAUUUGUGUGAAAAUAAUUGGAGAGGCGGUGGUUAUUUUAGAAUUGAAUAUACUAAAAGGAAUGAUUGGAAAUACUAUGUUUCAAUUCUUAGUGUUAAAAUAAUUUUUUACUAAGUAAAAUAACUAAUUAGUUGUAUCUUUCUCUAAAUUCCAUUUCAGCAUAUAUAUAUAUAUAUAUAUAUAUAUUAUGAGUUCAGUGUCAUUUAUCAUUUACUAUUAUAUUAAAUUUUGGUAUUGUAUAAAUUAUAUAUUAAGUUUUUGUAAUAGAAUGAGUUGCUAACAACAUGUCUUUUACUUGAAUACAACUUAUUCCAUUAUAAAAAUUUAAUAUAUAAUUCAUAUAAUACUAAAAUUUAAUAUAAUAAUAAAUGAUAGACUACACUAACAAAAUAAUAUAAAUUCAUUAUAUAUACAUAUAUUGUAACGCAAUUCUGAGAGAAGGAUGCAGUUGAUUGGUAAAUUUACUUAGCAAAAAAUUGUUUUAUCACUAAGAAUUAGAUUAUAGUAUUCUCAAUCAUUUUUUUUAGUAUAUUCAAUUCUAAAAUAACCAUUGGCUCCCCAGUCGUUUCCAUACGAAUUUUUAACGAUCCAAUAUUUAUUUUUUUUUUUCAUGUUCAUUAAUUUCAUACCCAAAUCCUACAAUAAGUAGUACAUGCGUAACUACUUUAUUAUGAGGAGAAUCAGCAUAUAUUUUCUACAACAAUGGAACAAUAUAUAAUAUUAUUGUUAGAAAAUAUCUUGUAAAUAUUAAAUUAUAUUUAAAAUACACAAAAUUAAUCAUAAUACAUGCAGUUAGAUUCAAGUAUUGAUAGAAUUUAUUUAUUUUAACUCCCGCUAUUACUGUGUCUCCUCUCCUCAUCAUAAUAGUUUCUAUCUCCUCAAUUGUGUCUAGUUCUUUAUAUCCCUUUAAGAGAUACACUCGUCGAUACUAAAAUGAAUAAAAUAAUUAAUAUGUUCUUUUCUUUUAAUCAAAUUUAUAAUAAUAACAUUAUACAUACAUGCCAUUGGAGUUAGAUAUGACUUGUCUAUUUUGCAUUCAAGUAUAUUUUGAUCUUCACCCGCAAAAGAAUGGUCCAUGUUAAAUCGUAUGUCAUGAUUUGUAAUAUAAUCUAGCGCAUUAAUAAUUGUAGAUACACCCGCACCCUUAUCCCUAUCUCCAUCCUCAUUUUUAUUCUUAAUAUAACAUAAAUCAAUUAAUUCUUGGACCGAAAGCUUUAUCUCUAACUUUCUUUGCUUUCUUAAAUAUAUUUUUACACAUCCCACGGUGACAAAAGCCCAAUACAUUGUUAAAUAUUUACAUAGUAACAAACUAAUCAAUAAGUAAUUCUCAAUAAUUAAAUCUAAAUAUAUGUAAUCUAUUUUGAAUUUACUUACCAAUAAGUUCCCUGAUUAUCAAUUUUACUUUGAAAAUUAGAACACCAUACUUCUAAUAAAUACAUAAGAUAUUUAAUUGCCAAUGAUUGUUAAAAUAAAGUUCAUAGGUAAAUAAUAAAAAAACACAAAAUAACAUUUCAUUAAAAAGAAAGAAUGAUGAUUACGAGAAUGAUAUUGGCAGGGGAUUUUAGAGUAGUUAGAUCAAUAAGUGAGUCAAAUACAAGAGUAUUGUUGUGGGUGAGAAUAUAUGUUUCAACUUCUGAAUUAGAUGACAAACUAGUAAUUAAAAUAUUUAAAUUUAUUAGAAAUUUAAUUUACUAAUAAAAAAAUAAAUAAAUUAUCAUCACUAAUAACACCAAAAUCAUGAUAAUACUUUUUAUUUUCAACAACACUAGCUUAAUCAUCAUCAUUAUCAUGAGAAUAUGAUUCACCGUAAUUGUGGUAUAGUUCAUCCAAAUAAAAAGAUUCUAAAAAUUAUUUUGGUCAUGGAAAGUUAGAUGAAUUUCGGAAAGACAUUCUCAGAAGUCUAAGUUGUCUAUCUGGAAGAAGUCUCGUAAAAUAAUAGGUGUCAUCGAGAAGGGCGUUCCCAAAUGUCUGUCACGUCCACCUGAAAGGAGUCUUCAAAAAUGCUAGUCUUUCCCGAAAAAGGAGUUUCAAACAACUAGUUAUUCCUCCUGGAAGGAAGUUCCGGAUAGUCGACUCCAGCUGUUGUCUUUCUUAUCCGGGAAGUCCCUUUAGCGUACACUUUAGUCUUUUUUCCCAAAAGCAUAUGUCUCGUCCAAAAUCACUUUGUCUUAUGCUAGCGUGGAAAUAUUGUUACGAGGAGUUUGCUAAGUUUGUCAAGUCUUAACUAACUUAACACUUGUAGCCUCUGACUUAGAAUCUUUAUCUUGAGCCUAUAUAUACUACUAACACUUAUCAUUUUGAGUAUGCUAGAUUGACGAGUUUUGAAAGGAGAUUUCGAGAUUAAUAUUGUAGUCGACAAGCCACUAUUUCUACUAAUUUCAGUUCCAACUUAUCCUUAAUUAUCUAAUCUCACCAUUUCUGUCAAAAAUGAGAAUAAAAUAUAAUUUUUAUUUUUCAUAAUUUUUGUUGUGAAUUGUAUUUUUAAUAUAUAAUAAAUAAUAUUCAUACUAACUUACAUUAUAA